rnacentral:tRNA from 1 species
GCCCCCAUCGUCUAUCGGCUAGGACAUCACCCUUUCAAGGUGAAGAGCGGGGUUCGAUUCCCCGUGGGGGCA